UUUUUGCCUUUUUCAAUAGCGGAGGAAAAAGAAACUAACAAGGAUUCCCCUAGUAACUGCGAGUGAAGCGGGAAAAGCUCAAAUUUAAAAUCUGGCAGUCUCUGGCUGUCCGAGUUGUAAUCUAGAGAAGUGUUAUCCGCGCUGGACCAUGUACAAGUCUCCUGGAACGGAGCGUCGUAGAGGGUGAGAAUCCCGUCUUUGACAUGGACUACCUGGGCUUUGUGAUGCGCUCUCAAAGAGUCGAGUUGUUUGGGAAUGCAGCUCAAAAUGGGUGGUAAAUUCCAUCUAAAGCUAAAUAUUGGCGAGAGACCGAUAGCGAACAAGUACCGUGAGGGAAAGAUGAAAAGAACUUUGGAAAGAGAGUUAAACAGUACGUGAAAUUGUUGAAAGGGAAACGCUUGAAGUCAGUCGCAUUGGUUAGGGAUCAACCUUACAUUUGUGGGGUGUACUUUCUAGUCAAUGGGUCAGCAUCAAUUUUGACUGUUGGAAAAAGGUCAGGGGAAUGUGGCAUCUUUGGAUGUGUUAUAGCCCUUGGUUGUAUACAGCAGUUGGGAUUGAGGAACUCAGCACGCCGCAAGGCCGGGUUUAUAACCACGUACGUGCUUAGGAUGCUGGCAUAAUGGCUUUAAUCGACCCGUCUUGAAAACAGGGACCCAAAAA
rnacentral:rRNA from 1 species